rnacentral:rRNA from 1 species
UAGGGAAUUUUCGUCAAUGGGCGCAAGCCUGAACGAGCGAUGCCGCGUGAGUGAAGAAGGCCUGGUCGUAAAGCUCUGUUGCGGGGGAAAAAAGGCAGCAUCAGGAAAUGGGUGCUGACUGAUGGUGCCCCGCCAGAAAGUCACGGCUAACUACGUGCC